rnacentral:rRNA from 1 species
GGGUUGUGAGGUUAAGCGACUAAGCGUACACGGUGGAUGCCCUGGCAGUCAGAGGCGAUGAAGGACGUGCUAAUCUGCGAAAAGCGUCGGUAAGGUGAUAUGAACCGUUAUAACCGGCGAUGUCCGAAUGGGGAAACCCAGUGUGAUUCGUCACACUAUCGUUAACUGAAUACAUAGGUUAACGAGGCGAACCGGGGGAACUGAAACAUCUAAGUACCCCGAGGAAAAGAAAUCAACCGAGAUUCCCCCAGUAGCGGCGAGCGAACGGGGAGCAGCCCAGAGUCUGAAUCAGCUUGUGUGUUAGUGGAACGGUCUGGAAAGUCCGACGGUACAGGGUGAUAGUCCCGUACACCAAAAUGCACAGGCUGUGAACUCGAAGAGUAGGGCGGGACACGUGGUAUCCUGUCUGAAUAUGGGGGGACCAUCCUCCAAGGCUAAAUACUCCUGACUGACCGAUAGUGAACCAGUACCGUGAGGGAAAGGCGAAAAGAACCCCGGCGAGGGGAGUGAAAAAGAACCUGAAACCGUGUACGUACAAGCAGUGGGAGCACCUUCGGGUGUGACUGCGUACCUUUUGUAUAAUGGGUCAGCGACUUAUAUUCUGUAGCAAGGUUAACCGUAUAGGGGAGCCGCAGGGAAACCGAGUCUUAACUGGGCGUUAAGUUGCAGGGUAUAGACCCGAAACCCGGUGAUCUAGCCAUGGGCAGGUUGAAGGUUGGGUAACACUAACUGGAGGACCGAACCGACUAAUGUUGAAAAAUUAGCGGAUGACUUGUGGCUGGGGGUGAAAGGCCAAUCAAACCGGGAGAUAGCUGGUUCUCCCCGAAAGCUAUUUAGGUAGCGCCUCGUGAACUCAUCUUCGGGGGUAGAGCACUGUUUCGGCUAGGGGGUCAUCCCGACUUACCAACCCGAUGCAAACUACGAAUACCGAAGAAUGUUAUCACGGGAGACACACGGCGGGUGCUAACGUCCGUCGUGAAGAGGGAAACAACCCAGACCGCCAGCUAAGGUCCCAAAGUCAUGGUUAAGUGGGAAACGAUGUGGGAAGGCACAGACAGCCAGGAUGUUGGCUUAGAAGCAGCCAUCAUUUAAAGAAAGCGUAAUAGCUCACUGGUCGAGUCGGCCUGCGCGGAAGAUGUAACGGGGCUAAACCAUGCACCGAAGCUGCGGCAGCGACACUAUGUGUUGUUGGGUAGGGGAGCGUUCUGUAAGCCUGCGAAGGUGUGCUGUGAGGCAUGCUGGAGGUAUCAGAAGUGCGAAUGCUGACAUAAGUAACGAUAAAGCGGGUGAAAAGCCCGCUCGCCGGAAGACCAAGGGUUCCUGUCCAACGUUAAUCGGGGCAGGGUGAGUCGACCCCUAAGGCGAGGCCGAAAGGCGUAGUCGAUGGGAAACAGGUUAAUAUUCCUGUACUUGGUGUUACUGCGAAGGGGGGACGGAGAAGGCUAUGUUAGCCGGGCGACGGUUGUCCCGGUUUAAGCAUGUAGGCUGGUU